GGGGGGAGAGGUCCUGCAAUGCUCAUAUGUGCCCCCGCAGCCCUGUUAGGAACAAAAGGAGAACCUCAUCCUAACUUGAGCUGAAACCGAUUACAUCAGAAAUAGGAGAAGAACCUCGUCCUAACACCAACUAAAGUCUGAUCAUUCAAGACCAGAUAAGAAAAAGAGAACCUUCUCGAUGGCCCCUCCGCACUCCCGCGACCCCAC
rnacentral:lncRNA from 1 species